UUGAUAAAGACAGGCGGUGACUUGAAAUUAGUUAAAAGAAGAUUAUAAAUGUAUUUCUGCUUUCAAAUUGAUAGACGCAAUUGGACGAUAGCUAAAAGAAGAUUUGAAAACCUGACUCCGCGAAUUCUUCGCGGGCGCAGGUAUUUUUUCGCUUAUAUUUGGUGAAACAAGCAAUUCUUGCAAUAUAGAAACAAUACAGGAAUUCCUUUGCACCCUGAUGGACAAAGGUUUGGAGGAGAUACACAAUGUAUUAAGGCGUUUCUUGGGAUAGGGUUAAUAUUAAUGGACUUAAUAUACGUAUUCUGUUGCAAGAAUGCAUUUACACCUUAUUUUCAAGGGACAGGAGGAGACAUCGAUUCCACUCUUGCCAAGGAGUUUUCUACAUCCAAGUGGGGUUCAAAGAAGAUACAUAUUUCAUCAAGGCUAGGUUUAUCAGAUUGCAGGAUUAAAUUUGCUCCCGAAUGGACAACACAUUGAAGAAAACACACAGGGCUUCGCUUAUUAAUAUGCAGCCGACACAUCCCACUGUUCGAGGAUUGAAACUAAGCUAGAGCAAAUGGUAGACGCAGGAAACAUAUUUCCGGGUUAGU